ensembl:ncRNA C09B9.83 ncRNA
AAAGUGUUUCUUUUCGCUCGUUUUCAUUCAUAUUUGUAAGACAAAAGAAAGAAGGAAAAGUAGAAAAGAGUGGGAACCUAGAGAAAGAGUAAUAUGCAUUGAAAUGGGACACCAAAUGGGUUUGGAUAUGGUU